CCAAGAUUACACCACCGCACUACCUGUGCACUACACUACCAGUGCACCACUGCCUCGGCGAUAGAGUGAGAUUCUGUCUCAAAAAAAGAAAAAAAAAGUAUUAAGAAGCUGUUAGUGCCAAAUAGAAAUAUUCUAACCUCUUUGACAUUUUUUUUGCAUCAAUGUGUUUUCAGACUAGAUGUAACUAAUGUAUUGGAUAGAAAAACUUUUUAAGAUCAAUAGUGUUUCCUUGAGCUUUUCUGCCUGUUCACCUUGGUCUUUGUACUUUCAUUGUGAUUAUGCUAGCAGAUAUGGCAGAAAAACCAAAUAUGGAUGAUUAGAAGCUUUGAAAUUAUUUUAAGGUUUUGGACUUUUCCAGGAUGAAGAGACUCGGCACAGCCUUGAGUGCAUCCAGGCCAAUCAGAUCUUUCCCAGGAAGCAGCUGAUCCGGGAGGAUGAGAAUCUUCAGGUUCCUUUCCUUGAACUUCAUGGAGAGAGCACAGAGUUUGUGGGCCGUGCCGAGGAUGCCAUCAUUGCCCUUUCCAAUUACAGACUUCACAUCAAGUUCAAG
rnacentral:sRNA from 1 species